AACGCGAAGAACCUUACCUGGGCUCGAAAUGUAGAGGACGAUAUCAGAGAUGAUAUUUCUCGAAAGGGUCUCUAUAUAGGUGCUGCAUGGCUGUCGUCAGCUCGUGCCGUGAGGUGUUUGGUUAAGUCCAGCAACGAGCGCAACCCUUAUCAUUAGUUGCCAGCGCGUAACGGCGGGAACUCUAAUGAGACUGCCUGGGUUAACCAGGAGGAAGGUGAGGAUGACGUCAAGUCCGCAUGGCCUUUAUGUCCAGGGCUACACACGUGCUACAAUGGUCGGUACAGAGGGCUGCGAGACCGCAAGGUGGAGCGAAUCUCAAAAAGCCGGUCUCAGUUCGGAUUGGGGUCUGCAACUCGACCCCAUGAAGUCGGAGUCGCUAGUAAUCGCGAAUCAGCAACGUCGCGGUGAAUACGUUCCCGGGCCUUGUACACACCGAGUAUA
rnacentral:rRNA from 1 species